AAAGGCUAACUCUAAAUCCCUCCCUCUGCACGGUAAAAACACGCAAAUUGGGGCGGGCCUAGUGCGGAAAGAUACCGGAAGUGUUUCUGUGGCCAUCUUGAACAGAUCGCAAGCUAAAUCAUCCAUCUUAGGAGGUACAGACUACAGGGGGCCGUGGCUUCCUCUUAACCGCGGCAGCUGCUGAUAAAUACUGUACUAUUAACAGUGAGGCCCGGCGUAAUUUCCUUAUUAGAGGGCUUCUUUACGUCUCUUCAUCCCAAACUGGGAAAUGGUAAUUGAAGAAACCCUUUUCUUUCAAAAAUCCCAGGCCUGUACCCUGUCUUUAGGCAGCGUGGUGUAUGAUAGGAGCGUUUUUAAAAAAUAGUUUGAUCAGCAGUGAGGGCAUAAAGAGCUGCUUCUGGAACCUGCAGCACCAAAUUUCUCUUCAGGAAACUAACAGACUUGGUUGCAAUACGGUUGGUGAGACAGAUAUCAAUUUUUUUUUUAAAUAUAAAACUCCCUGCCUGUAAUCCCAGCUACUAGGGAGGCUGAGGCAGGAGAAUCGCUUGAACCCGAGAAACGGAAGCUGAUUAGCUGGGCGUGGUGGAGUGCACCUGUAAUCCCAGCUACCUAGGAGGCUGAGGCAGGAGAAUCAGUUGAACCCGGGAGACGGAGGUUGCAGCGAGCCGAGAUCUUGCCACUGCACUCCAGUCUGGGGGACAAGAGCGAGACUCUGUCUCAAAAAAAAAAAAAAAAAGUGAAUAAGAGUAAAACGAAAAAUAAAAUUUAAAAAGCGAUUAGGAGACACUAAUUCAUUCUCCACAGUAGGUACUGUGAUCAUUUUAAAAAUCAGUUGGUUACAUACCUACUAAAAAUCCUUGUUGUUGUUGUUUUGAGACGUAGUCUCGCUCUAUCACCCAGGCUAAGAGUGCAGUGGUGCAGUCUCGGCUCACUGCAUCCUCUGCCUCCCGGGUUCAAGCAAUUCUCCUGCCUCAAGCCUCCUGAGUACCUGGGACUACAGGCGCCCUCCAAGCCUCCUGAGUACCUGGGACUACAGGCGCCCCCCCCCACACACACACACACACCCGGCUAAUUUUUGUAUUUUUAGUAGAGACGGGAUUUCACCAUGUUGGCCAGGCUGGUCUUGAACUCCUGACCUCAAGUGAUCCACCAGCCUCCACCUCCCAAAGUGCUGGGAUUACAGGCGUGAGCCACUGCGCCCGGCCUAAAAACCCUUUUUGUUAGAGGGGUUUGGUUAUACUACCCAGGCUGGCCUGAAACUCGCCUCCCAAGCAUCUGGGACGACAGGGGUGUAACCAUGCACCCGGCUCUUUCCUUGGCAUUUU
rnacentral:lncRNA from 10 species